rnacentral:rRNA from 1 species
AUUGAACGCUGGCGGCAGGCCUAACACAUGCAAGUCGAACGAGAGGCGGACGGGUGAGUAAUGUCUGGGAAACUGCCUGAUGGAGGGGGAUAACUACUGGAAACGGUAGCUAAUACCGCAUACCAUCGGAUUAGCCCAGAUGGGAGUAGCUCGUAGGUGGGGUAAAGGCUCACCUAGGCGACGAUCCCUAGCUGGUCUGCGAGGAUGACCAGCAACACUGGAACUGAGACACGGUCCAGACUCCUACGGGAGGCAGAAGUGGGGAAUAUUGCACAAUGGGCGAAAGCCUGAUGCAGCCAUGCCGCGUGUAUGAAGAAGGCCUUCGGGUUGUAAAGUACUGUCAGCGGGGAGGCGUUACCCGCAGAAGAAGCACCGGCUAACUCCGUGCCAGCAGCCGCGGUAAUAC